UACAGAGGGUGCAAGCGUUAAUCGGAAUUACUGGGCGUAAAGCGCGCGCAGGCGGUCAUCUACGUCUGGGGUGAAAGCCCGGAGCUCAACUCCGGGAUUGCCUUGGAUACGGGAUGACUUGAGGAUCGGAGAGGCAAGGGGAAUUCCACGUGUAGCGGUGAAAUGCGUAGAGAUGUGGAGGAACACCUGUGGCGAAGGCGCCUUGCUGGCCGAUUUCUGACGCUGAGGCGCGAAAGCGUGGGGAGCAAACAGG
rnacentral:rRNA from 1 species